rnacentral:lncRNA from 1 species
AUGUAAGCCUUGAAAAACUUUUUGGUGAGCUCAUAGGUUAUCUAUAAGAUGGUUUAUGGCCAUCUGUCUUAUAGGGUAACAACAUAAUUUAUCCUCCAAGUUUGGACACUUUUGAGAGUAAAAAGGGGAGUUAUUAAUCAUUAUGUCAAGGAAAUAAGCAAAAAUGGGACUUUUCUAAGCAACUUAGACAUAUGGUCAUUCUACUUAUGAGAAAUAUGUGUCUUUUAUAGGUUAGAUAUUAGGUCCCAUAAGAGCAUGUGGCCAAGAUGGCCAGCUCCACCAAAGAUUCAUACUUCCCCUUCCAUAGUAUGGAGUUGUGCUGGGAAGCAGUUUUCCCACCAGGGACAACAUCUUCUAGUCCUUUUACAUCUAAGUAGUACCAUGAGACUGGAUCAUGCCAAAGAAAUGUUUUGGAAGUGAGAUGUUUCACUUUGGAACCAAGGAACUGAAAAAACAGAUAGAGGGAGCCCAAGCCAAGAAGAGAGGUCUGGUAUCAAAGAUUUGCUGAAUUCACAAUUGAAGAGGCUUAUGUCAGUCCCUUAGAAAGAAUUUGAGGACUCCUCGGAAAAUUGCUGAGUUGAGUAAAUAUUUCCUUCCAUAAAGGUAAAUAAGCAUCUCAAGAGCAAGUUUCUACAUUUUGUAUUUCCCUGUUUUAUUUCUGUAAAAUUGUGCAACCAAGAAUUAUGACCUACUGAUAUUAGAAUAAAAUUUGCAGAAGUUUGA